UAGAAGGAAGGAUUGAGACAAAUCCUACCACCUCAUCAAUCAAAGUGCAUUUGAGCAAUGAAUUUGGAAAUGAGAAAUUGCUACAAGUUAACAAGACAACAUCAUAACGUAACACAGACUGGAAUUGGUGCUGACCACUGUCCAAAGCUAUCACACUGCAGAGUCACUGAUCCGUUCAAUGAGAAGCCCUUCAUGCAACCAAACUCGCAAACUGAGAGGUUUGCACAAUUCACAACUGCAAGAAACAAGAGGGAACCUUUUGUUUUCAAACCAUAACACCUCAGACCUGUGGGUUUCAAAUCUUAAGGUCAUUGCUAUCGUUUGGAAAAUUGAAUUAUUCUAUUCCUAGCACCCAAUGGCUGCUCCAAACCAUCUGGAAUCUGCCAGAAGUUAGGAAAAGCUAUUUCUAUUCUGUUCCAAUUGCAGCAAUGAAUCCUUCCAUACCUGUGUGACAUGCUUCCCUUUUCCUACAUAAGGCUUUCUACGGCAGUUUGGAGUGAGAUUCCAAAAUAAAUGUAAUAGCAAAAAAAAAAGCAAAAUUAAUUUUGAAUUGGAUGCAUAAGGAAUUAAAGUGAGAUUAGAAAAGUUUAUUCAUUGGGGCCUGAAUAGCCAUCAAACAGAAGAAUUUGGGAGAAUGUUUAACCUCAAUAUAGAAGUGAAAGCCCUUCAUCUGACUGGCUGAUACACCCACCCCAGGCACUUCCCUUGUUUGCCAUUUGUGACUAUAGCUUGCUAAUAUCACAUCAGUAAUGGCUUGACUUGCACAAAAAGAAUGUAAGCACAAUAGAUGCCAUCUUUGUAUUAAAAAGCAGUAUACUGUAAUUGCUCUUAUAUUUUAUAUCACUCCUUUCUUACCAAGAAUAAUUAUAGCGACAAACUGCAUUCGACAUCCCGCUCUCAGAAUUUGUGGGGUUUGUUGGUUUACCAUUUUUGCCAUUCUGUUGUAUCUAUAGAUAAUAAGAUGUUAUUUAUAAUCAUUAUCGAAUAGAAUAACCAAAGCAAUCUUGAAUAUUUACCACUCAUGCUAAGAAAGUGAUUACAUGCUGUUUAUGAGGCUCAUUCUUCAUGUAUGUUAAAAAUAAAAUUAUGGCAUACGAUGUUCACAUUUCAAAUUCUAUCAGUUCCUUCUAUUCUAUGAAAACAUGUCAAUGUUGUGAUUUCAAAAUCAUGAUUCUCAACAUGACAUAC